rnacentral:rRNA from 1 species
CCCUUAGACGUUCUGGGCCGCACGCGCGCUACACUGACCAGUGCAACAAGCAUCCGUCCUUGGCCGACAGGCUCGGGCAAUCUUUGAACGCUGGUCGUGAUGGGGAUAGACUUUUGCAAUUUUUGGUCUUCAACGAGGAAUUCCUAGUAAACGCAAGUCAUCAACUUGCAUUGAUUACGUCCCUGCCCUUUGUACACACCGCCCGUCGCGCCUACCGAUUGAAUGGUCCGGUGAAGCCUCCGGAUUGGCGCGCACCUCGGUGCCGCCGAGAAGUUGGCUAAACCUUACCAUUUAGAGGAAGGUGAAGUCGUAACA